rnacentral:rRNA from 1 species
GACGAACGCUGGCGGCGUGCUUAACACAUGCAAGUCGAACGGAAAGGCCCUGCUUUUGUGGGGUGCUCGAGUGGCGAACGGGUGAGUAACACGUGAGUAACCUGCCCUUGACUUUGGGAUAACUUCAGGAAACUGGGGCUAAUACCGGAUAGGAGCUCCUGCUGCAUGGUGGGGGUUGGAAAGUUUCGGCUGUUGGGGAUGGACUCGCGGCUUAUCAGCUUGUUGGUGGGGUAGUGGCUUACCAAGGCUUUGACGGGUAGCCGGCCUGAGAGGGUGACCGGCGACAUUGGGACUGAGAUACGGCCCAGACUCCUACGGGAGGCAGCAGUGGGGAAUAUUGCACAAUGGGAGGGAGCCUGAUGAAGCAACGCCGCGUGCGGGAUGACGGCCUUCGGGGUGUAAACCGCUUUCGCCUGUGACGAAGCGUGAGUGACGGUAAUGGGUAAAGAAGCACCGGCUAACUACGUG